CUACUGUGCUUCCCACUUACACUCACAACAAUUUGACGCACCGCCGGUUUUGGGGAUGCCAAACGUAAGCAAACCGGAAGGUUGCCAGACUGCCGCACACAGAUGUUCGCAUUGAACUGUGUGGCAACCAUUGCAAGAUGCGCUGCACGUGUUUCAAGUUCGCGUGUGUUGCCCGGGUCAUUCCCCGGUCUGAAAUCGAAUUCGAAAGCAGUUAAAAGUAGCUCGAAAGAAAUAACUGUAUCCGAAUACAGUUGACCGGCUACCAAGGCAAUGGAGGUAAAUGCCAGCAAGCUACGAUUUUGUGCACAGCGACUUCUGCAGUUGACUACCAACGAGCCCCAAGACAAUUUGUUUGUUCAAACAAAGAAGAAAUAUGUGCCUCAAGACGUGGAACGUCUGUUCUGCAGUCUCAGCGAGCAACUUGCGUGACCGGCCUACACCGUUCCCUUGGCAGUGAGCUUUGAGCUGUUGCUGCUCCUUAGCAUGGCCCUGCGAUGGGACUCGGCUGGAGACGAUAUCCAUCAAAGCUAUCCCUGUCAAAGCUAAUGGACUUCUCUGUGGAUGCGCAGAGGUUCGCAAAGAGCUACUUCCACAACAAGCCAGCACCGUUCGAGAAAAGCCAAAGUAAUUCCAGCAGUGUCCCCAGCAAAAGGGCAAAGAACGCAAAGGCCAGCCAAAAGUUAGAUGAAAGCUCUUGAAAUGUUGCUACCAGUUGCUGCAAAGUGACACGUCCUACUUCCGUGAGUUGUGGGACUGGUCCGGCUUCAUUGGCACCUAAUCGCACCUCGAGACCCCCUGCCCGAUGAUACAACUCUACUGCAACUACAUCAUGGCCAUGCUCACGAAUAUGGGCCCAACACAGCUGAAUGCCCAAAAUGCCAAGAUAUCCACAAAAGCACAGCUCCGAUUUGAACGCGAGAAGGAACAGUCUUAGGCCGUAGCCAGGCAGGCCGAGGGCUGCUGCUAUUCUCCCGAAGACGAAACGCCUGAACAGAUGCUGAGCCUGAGCCUGAGCCCCAACCAGAGUGUGACCAACAUUGGGGGCGUACUCUUGCCGACAUUCAACAAGAAGAAUCAGGAAUUCUAUGCCAGCACUGACGGCUGCUACGAUCGCAUUGUAAAGGUGGAUUCGACGGUUGUAAAUCUGCGGAGCAUUGCCCUCGGCGUCGCAGCGGCCAAGCCGAUUUGCCUCUCCGGUCCUGUGGGCUGUGGCAAGACGAUGCUUAUUGAGUCCAUAUCCCAGAGGACUAUGUGGUGGGUGCCAACUGCCGCACUCACCAGGUGCGUUUCAUUCUUGUUCCAGCUCAAGGACGUCACGUAUUUGUGUCCCAGGACACUCAGCAGACUCAUUUUGCUGUUAUUUUCCCAAAUGCAUAACCCUGCAGCACAUCCCACGGCAAGUGUACCGGAGCUGCCGGGGCGGAAGGCAGCACACGUGAUGUGCACUUGCGCGUUGUCCUGCAGCUCGAAAGCCAUCCUCGGGUCAAGGGCAUUGUAGAGCAGGACAGUAUCGUCGAGGGUGAUCAGCGCCCCGUUCAUAAGGCCGGUCGGAAACGGGUGUUAGACGACGAAACGGUAAUGCUGCGACUUCCAGAUAGUCGUUUGGUACAACACACGCAAGUCGAAAUGGACUGCAUAUCUUGAAAAUCUCGGUAUAAACAUUUGGCAUGAUAACACUGCGGAUUUCCGGGGGUCCCGAAAUAAUUCCGUUAAUAUCGAUUCAACUACAGAUCCAACUACGGCUCUAGUAGUAUUUCUGUAACCAAGGCGACGCACCAAAGCAGAUUAAACUGGAAAAUCUGGAGGAGGUAGUUCGGAAAAUCCUUGAAGUCCAGAAGGAGCAGCAGAUAUUACAGAAUGAGCCCCAGGACACAAAGCGAGAGAUACUCCAGCGAAUUGCGAGCAGCCAAGGCCAAACCAACUUCCAAACAGAGCUGCUGCACUUUUUAAAGGAGUCCAAAAAGUAACGUUUAUUGUACAUGUAUGGAUUGUUUAUUAUAGCCAUCAAUAUAGCCAAUUUACUAAUUUAAAAUUGUAAAAACUUCACAAUUCAGACCAAAACUUUG